rnacentral:rRNA from 1 species
AAAUUGAAGAGUUUGAUCAUGGCUCAGAUUGAACGCUGGCGGCAGGCCUAACACAUGCAAGUCGAACGGUAACAGGGAUCAGCUUGCUGAUUCGCUGACGAGUGGCGGACGGGUGAGUAAUGUCUGGGAAACUGCCUGAUGGAGGGGGAUAACUACUGGAAACGGUAGCUAAUACCGCAUAACGUCGCAAGACCAAAGAGGGGGACCUUCGGGCCUCUUGCCAUCGGAUGUGCCCAGAUGGGAUUAGCUAGUAGGUGGGGUAACGGCUCACCUAGGCGACGAUCCCUAGCUGGUCUGAGAGGAUGACCAGCCACACUGGAACUGAGACACGGUCCAGACUCCUACGGGAGGCAGCAGUGGGGAAUAUUGCACAAUGGGCGCAAGCCUGAUGCAGCCAUGCCGCGUGUAUGAAGAAGGCCUUCGGGUUGUAAAGUACUUUCAGCGGGGAGGAAGGGAGUAAAGUUAAUACCUUU